rnacentral:rRNA from 1 species
GACGAACGCGGCGGCGUGCCUAAUACAUGCAAGUAGAACGCUGAAGGAGGAGCUUGCUCUUCUGGAUGAGUUGCGAACGGGUGAGUAACGCGUAGGUAACCUGCCUGGUAGCGGGGGAUAACUAUUGGAAACGAUAGCUAAUACCGCAUAACAUUGACUAUUGCAUGAUAGUCAAUUGAAAGGUGCAAUUGCACCACUACCAGAUGGACCUGCGUUGUAUUAGCUAGUUGGUGGGGUAACGGCUCACCAAGGCGACGAUACAUAGCCGACCUGAGAGGGUGAUCGGCCACACUGGGACUGAGACACGGCCCAGACUCCUACGGGAGGCAGCAGUAGGGAAUCUUCGGCAAUGGACGGAAGUCUGACCGAGCAACGCCGCGUGAGUGAAGAAGGUUUUCGGAUCGUAAAGCUCUGUUGUAAGAGAAGAAACGAGUGUGAGAAGUGGAAAGUUUCACAACU